CUGCUUCUCUUCCUUCCCAUGCUCUGGUACCCUCAGUGGCGGUACAGGUGGUGGGAAGAGGUUUGCCUGCUCUAUCCACCCCCAGUAGUGUCUUCGAGAGUCCCAGACACACAGCUGAUACGCUGGAUCACAGCACACUUGCCUUUAUCUCCAUCCUGCAAGAUGACUGACAUGCGCAGAGAAGAAAGGCUCUCGGAUGGCAAAUUUUUCUCUCAGUGGUCAGAUAGCACCCGCCAUCUUCUGUUUAAGGCUGCUGGGUCUCCUCCGAACCCUGGGGCUUAGGUCCAGCUGCUACCAUCCUCAAAUGAUGCCACAAACAGUUCCUCCAAGAGUGCUCUGCAGAACCCUGCAGGUCCCCAAGAUCGUCAGGGCAUCUACUGACCUAUCCCUUUUGUCAUAACCCUACCAUGUUGUUUGCCUUUCUCCCAUUGUGGACAUUUGCUCUGAUGACACAAAGCAGUGUCACUAAGAUGCACCAGCUGCCACUGCAUUCCUCACUAACGAAGAAGUAAAGACCUGAGUAGUCUCUAAAGGUCUCACUGCAAACAAAGGCAAAGCGGGCCCACAUCUGGCUCUCCGGCCCAGCGCUGCGGACCCCACACUGCACCGCCGCCUCCCUCUCCCUGUGGAACCAGCUCUAAUUCCGGGAAGAGGAGAAGAUGAGAAUAAAAAGAGACAUAAAACAUACAGUACUUUUCACAAGAGGAGUGACUAAGGAAAGAAACAAUCCAUUCUCCUCUAGUGUCUCUGCCCCUCAUGCUGUCUGAUACCUAACGUGCUACUUUGGCGACCAGAGAAAGCGAGCCAGCUCCGAAGGGGUCUCGCCCCGCCAGACCUGAGAAGGUAGCCCCUGACUCCGCGCUCACAGCACCCCAGCCCUGAGCUGACCGCUCCGCUGCUCGCGGCUGCAGUUUUCAUCAGGGAUAAACAUGAAACUUGGACUCUUGAAGGAGUCCACAAAGGAGCAGAAAGAGUCCAGUUCAGUAAAGCCAUUUCACAAAGUACAGUUGGAUGAAGACUGCUAGGUGCUGGGAGGGAAGUCACCUCACCAUCCUGACAACAAGUAAAAAGCUGAACAGACUGAAAAAUCAGCAACUCUUCUUGGAUCUGUCAGAGAGGAAAAGACACACAGCAAAUUGCUGCCCCCAAAAUGGAGAGAGAGGCAAACAUAGGGAGCCGCAAUGUACCCAAGGAGAGACACCAGUGGGAAUGACCUCAGGAACCAGUGCUGGGACAUUUAAAGCUCUCUACGUACAGACCCUUGACGAGGACCCAAUGACACAAAACCCUCAAGGACCCCAGGGCCUGGAGAGCACCUCGAGAGUCACAUACAAUAAAAUUCUACCAUUUGC